UUUCGGAUGGGUGUGACCGGUCCGCCGUUUCGGUGUGCACUGGUGGUGUCUAUCUUGCUGUCGGGGACGCGCUUCUGGCCUUAAUUGGCUGGGACGCGGAGUCGGCGAUGUUACUUUGAAAAAAUUAGAGUGUUCAAAGCAGGCCUAAGCUCUGAAUACAUUAGCAUGGAAUAACGCUAUAGGACUCUGGUCUUAUUGCGUUGGUCUUCGAGACCGGAGUAAUGAUUAAGAGGGACAGUUGGGGGCAUUCGUAUUUCAUUGUCAGAGGUGAAAUUCUUGGAUUUAUGAAAGACGAACUUCUGCGAAAGCAUUUGCCAAGGAUGUUUUCAUUAAUCAAGAACGAAAGUUGGGGGCUCGAAGACGAUCAGAUACCGUCCUAGUCUCAACCAUAAACGAUGCCGACUAGGGAUUGGCGGAUGUUAAUUCGAUGACUUCGCCAGCACCUUAUGAGAAAUCAAAGUUUUUG
rnacentral:rRNA from 1 species